GAUGAACGCUGGCGGCGUGCCUAAUACAUGCAAGUCGAGCGAACAGACGAUGAUCUUGCUCCUCUGACGUUAGCGGCGGACGGGUGAGUAACACGUGUAUAACCUACCUAUAAUACUGGGAUAACUUCGGGAAACCGGAGCUAAUACCGGAGAAUAUAUUGAACCGCGGUGGUCGAUGGUGAAAUACGGUUGUUGUGUCUGUAAUAGCUGGAUCCGCGCCGCAUUAGAUAGUUGGUAAGGUAACGGCUUACCAAGGGGACGAUGCGUAGGCGACCUGAGAGGGUGAUAGGCGACACGAGAACUGAGACACGGUCAAGACUCCUAAGGGACGCAGCAGUAGGGUAUCUUACGCAGUGGGCGAAAGCAUGACGCAGCAACGCCGAGCGAGUGAUGACGGUCUUCGGAUCGUAAAACUCUGUUAUGAGGGAAGAACAAAUGUGUAAGUAAAUAUGCACGUCUUGACGGUAACUAAUCAGAAAGCAACGGCUAACUACGUG
rnacentral:rRNA from 1 species